rnacentral:tRNA from 1 species
CAGGGAGUCAACAAAAUGUUUAAUAUUAUUAUUUUGUCACCUUAGGUCGAUCGGUAUCUCACAUCCUUAAUUCAUUGAGGAUUUCAUUUCCUAAGUUUUUCUAGGUCACACCCAUUUUUUCCUGGGCCAUUAGCUCAGGUGGUUAGAGCGCACCCCUGAUAAGGGUGAGGUCCCUGGUUCAAGUCCAGGAUGGCCCAUAUCUCUAUGUUGGGGGUAUAGCUCAGUUGGUAGAGCGCCUGCUUUGCAAGCAGGAUGUCAGCGGUUCGAGUCCGCUUACCUCCACUGAUUACCACCUCUUCCAUAAUCAGUAAGAAGGAAAAAUUUUUGAGUUGUGACCAUAUUCUGAACGAAUCUAGCUUCCUAAUGAAAUCAUUAAGAUGCUGGACUCAUUGAAUUAAUUUCAUUGUUUUCAGAGAACCUUGACAACUGCAUAGAUUUUUUUAAAGACAAUAAGCAUCUUUAAUGAUGCAGAUUUAUUAUUUGUGCGAAUGCAUUAAUAACAAUUCUAUUAAGCUGAUGCUUCAAUUUUUGAAGUUAUU